AUUUUUUUUCACUAAAAUAAAGCAUUAAAUAAAUUUGUUUUAAAGUAAAAGAUGUUAACUAAAUAUAUUUUUACUAAUAUUUAGUCAAACAAUUCUCUCAACUCAGAAGGUAAUUGUAAGAAACUAAUUUUAGACACUUCCACCAAUCCAAUCUGAUUAUGAUGAUUUUAGAAAUUUCUGAUGCUUAAAAGUCAACUUCUGUCUCCCCCUCCAAAAGAAAAAAAAAAGAAGCAAAUUCCGAAGUCCCAAACCGAAACAUGAUAUUAUAUGUGUUUUCCACUAUAGCUGCAAUAGGAUUUGUUGCAUUGCGUAUAAGGAUAUCUUCU
rnacentral:lncRNA from 1 species